CGACGUCGUCCCCAUCACCGCCAUCGCCAUCACGUUUUCUUUCGCACAUGUACGAACUCUAUGCAUGUACGCACAUUGCGCAUUGCGCACAUGUUUGGACCAGUCGUGGUUUGAUAUUGAGGUUUGGUCCUGCCAGGCCCAACGCUGCCAGCAGCGACGUUUGUCCGCCGCUUUUUAUCUGACGUAUGUGUACAUACUUACGUUGACCGCUGUUGGGUGUUGUGUGGUGGAUGUUCUCUGGCUGUGUCGCGUACAACAAGAACGGUAGAAGAGUUUCUGAACUCCGAUCGCCUCGGCAGUGCGCCAUUUGCCAGCAAAGUCGCGUUUUCCUAAACCCAUAGUUCAUACCGUGUCGUCUGGCAUGGACGUAGACCACUGUUGGGUGCUGUGUCGCGUACAUACAACAAGAACCGUGGAAGAAUUCCUGAACCCUGUCCGCCCCGCCAGUAGGCCAUUGGCCAGCAAAGGCACACAGCGAUCGGACUGAGCAUAUCAAGUAGCCCCUCCUGUGACCCACAAGACCACACUAAUUUGGCCAAGGAGCCUGUCUGGACUUAUGUUGGGACUGCUGGCAGACAGUGUGUUUUUUCUGGACUUAUGUUGGGACUGCUGGUGGACAGUUUCUGUUUUUUAUGGACUUAUGCUGGGACUGCUGGCAGACAGUUUCGGUUUCAGUCUUCAGCUGGUGCACAGUUCACUUUUAUCAUACCGCCUCAUUUCUUUUUAGUGUAUCUGCGUUCUCUAGACAUUUAGCCUGUGUUCUUACACGUUGAGAGUACUCUUAUGGUUUACAGCAUUGCUUUGCUUAUAAACUUAUGUGAUACUGCCUUGUUGCUUUCGACUCGCUUCAUUCUCUUGUCAUUUCGCCAGUAUUGAAACACUCUUAUGAUUGUAUGUGCAGUAAUCUUUCAGGGCAUUGCAUUGUACUCAUUGUGUGUAACAAAACAUUGCAAUAGCCUGGCAAGAGUAUUGCACAUUUGAUGUGUUAUCAGAUGUGUUAUGUGCUAUAUACCUAAAAGGAACAAUGUGAGGUAUGCAGCGUGCUCUCCAUAGAAGGCAGUACAAUACAACUGCUCUUUUAUGCCGAGACACCUGCACCUACUUCCAAAAUCAUAAAUACUAAAAUUUACAUAAUAGUGAUUCGCAACAGUUACUUUCAGGUUACAACAGUACAUAUAACUAGCACUCAAGUGAGCGAAAAGUAUUGUGGCCUACAGUCUGUCGAGCGUUCGUUUUUGAGAGCCAUAAUUAGUGCACCUCACAAGCCGCUAGACGUCAUGCGGAUGCGUGUUUAAGGAAUGAACAUCUUUUAAUAUGUACUGAUGGGCUAGUUGGUGAGCCAUGAUUUUCGAAUAGGCAGCGCACAAAAGGGCAACAAAUAC